rnacentral:lncRNA from 1 species
AGGACACAGCAAAUGGUGGUCCAGUGGGACCACCAUGUCUGAUAAUCAGAAAGCAUUGGUUAUCAUUGGUUAUCUAGUAGCCUGCAUUUGUUCUCAAAGCUUUCUACAAUGUUAUAGUGAGAUGACUAUAUAGAAAAAUAUCUAAUUUCUUUUUCAUUGCACAUUUUCUCAAACAUGAGGUAUUUAAUCCAAAAGAAUAGCCAAAGGCUUGAGAAGGCUUAGUAAGGAAAUUGUACAGAAGGCACUUCUGUGCUAUUAAAAGUCGAGAAACUGUUAUAGCAAGGAAACAUUGUGCAAUAUGUUCAGAAAUAAGGAGGGGUUUUUUUAUCUUGCAAAAAAUACAGCAGUGAACUGCAUGCAUCACUAAAAUGUCCCACUGGUUGCCUACCAUGCCAGAGAGGAAGGGGCAGUAGCUGGUUCUGCCAGGACAAGUGUUCUGCCAAUGGUGUUUGGUGAUUAUUACAAACUAAACACAGCCCAGGAAGUGGAGGAAAGAGCAAUAAAUCGAAGGACUUGGACUACACUUUUACAGUCUGCCGGCGCUCACCAACUUAAUUUACUCAGACUAGGGAAAAGUGUGUCUCAGUAAACAAACUGAAGCUGCUGCUAUUCCGACAUGAACCCUGACAUUUGCUGGCCUGAUGCAGCUUUUCUACCUGUCUCUUCCUCAGAGCUGCUGCAUACACACACACAAGACUUCCAUGCUGCCAGAGACGCAGAUGCGGGCUGCCUGGCUGGUUUCAGCUGCCAUUAUUCUCCUAUAACCUUGGCGAUUGGGAUAUGUAACAUCCCCAGGAGGUACAGUUCCUAACUGCCCAGCGGUUGAGAGCUAUGCCCACCAGUUCUAGGUUUGGUCUUUGGUCAGUGGAGUUGAUGAUUAUGUUUCCUUCAAUUAGUGUAAAUCAUGCUGAGCGUCUGGUAUGUGCUCUAUGCUCUAUAAGGGAAAAUUCCCUCCCAUGUGAAAAUAAUGUAUCCAUGUGUGUGCAUUGUUGUACUUGAAUUGUGUGCACUGUUGUGUAUUAAUGCAUAUAGGCCACACUCAGACAUCUACAAUGGCUUCGAAGCUUUUGAUUCCAUUUAAAUGGACUCCAUGCCCUUGGCAUGUGCUAUGUAAGUGUUUAUGAACUUUUUCCAGGCCCAUUUAUUUAUGAUGUGACAUGGUAGACAAUCGUGUUGGCUUUGUGUUCUUGUUUUUCAAGAAAAUCAAUGUACAUACUACUAAGCAAGUGAAUAAAUUAUUAAAAUAUAGAUGUAUGGCUCAUGCCCACUGUUAAAAAUAAAUUUAUCUUAUUUGUUUCAUAAUAUGUUUGCCACGAUGAUGAAAAUUUAUAUGGUCCUUAUACAUAUCGAUGCCGUGUAUUUAAGCUUUGUUCAAUAUUGAUGAGUGUUCCCUAAUAAAGUAUUUUAAACCUCUUUCUCUAAAU